GGAAGGGGCGGCAGGCUACCAUGCAGUCGAGCGGUAACAGAAAGAAGCUUGCUUCUUUGCUGACGAGCGGCGGACGGGUGAGUAAUGCCUGGGAAAUUGCCCUGAUGUGGGGGAUAACCAUUGGAAACGAUGGCUAAUACCGCAUAAUAGCUUCGGCUCAAAGAGGGGGACCUUCGGGCCUCUCGCGUCAGGAUAUGCCCAGGUGGGAUUAGCUAGUUGGUGAGGUAAGGGCUCACCAAGGCGACGAUCCCUAGCUGGUCUGAGAGGAUGAUCAGCCACACUGGAACUGAGACACGGUCCAGACUCCUACGGGAGGCAGCAGUGGGGAAUAUUGCACAAUGGGCGCAAGCCUGAUGCAGCCAUGCCGCGUGUAUGAAGAAGGCCUUCGGGUUGUAAAGUACUUUCAGCAGUGAGGAAGGCAGUGAGUUUAAUACGCUUAUUGUUUGACGUUAACUGCAGAAGAAGCACCGGCUAACUCCGUGCCAGCAGCCGCGGUAAUACGGAGGGUGCGAGCGUUAAUCGGAAUUACUGGGCGUAAAGCGCAUGCAGGUGGUCUGUUAAGUCAGAUGUGAAAGCCCAAGGCUUAACCUUGGAAUCGCAUUUGAAACUGGCAGGCUAGAGUACUGUAGAGGGGGGUAGAAUUUCAGGUGUAGCGGUGAAAUGCGUAGAGAUCUGAAGGAAUACCGGUGGCGAAGGCGGCCCCCUGGACAGAUACUGACACUCAGAUGCGAAAGCGUGGGGAGCAAACAGGAUUAGAUACCCUGGUAGUCCACGCCGUAAACGAUGUCUACUUGGAGGUUGUGGCCUUGAGCCGUGGCUUUCGGAGCUAACGCGUUAAGUAGACCGCCUGGGGAGUACGGUCGCAAGAUUAAAACUCAAAUGAAUUGACGGGGGCCCGCACAAGCGGUGGAGCAUGUGGUUUAAUUCGAUGCAACGCGAAGAACCUUACCUACUCUUGACAUCCAUAGAACUUAGCAGAGAUGCUUUGGUGCCUUCGGGAACUAUGAGACAGGUGCUGCAUGGCUGUCGUCAGCUCGUGUUGUGAAAUGUUGGGUAAGUCCCGCAACGAGCGCAACCCUUAUCCUGUUUGCCAGCGAGUAAUGUCGGGAACUCCAAGGGAGACUG
rnacentral:rRNA from 1 species